AGAGAGAGACAUGCGCGCAUAUCAAUAAGCGGAGGAAAAGAAACUAACAAGGAUUCCCUUAGUAACGGCGAGUGAAGCGGGAAGAGCUCAAAUUUGAAAUCUUCAAGGCUUUUACCUUGACGAAUUGUAGUUUAAAGAAGUGUUUUCUGCUGAAGUUUUGGUAAAAGUUCUUUGGAAUAGGACAUCAUAGAGGGUGAGAAUCCCGUAUUUGACCAUUAUUUUCAGCUUUGUGAUACACUUUCAAAGAGUCGGAUUGUUUGGGAAUGCAGUCCAAAAUGGGUGGUAAAUUUCAUCUAAAGCUAAAUAUUGGCGAGAGACCGAUAGCGAACAAGUACCGUGAGGGAAAGAUGAAAAGAACUUUGAAAAGAGAGUUAAACAGUACGUGAAAUUGUCAAAAGGGAAGCGUUUGACACCAGUGUUGUUUUCUCGAAAAUCAAUUAAAAAUGGCUCGAUUUUGUAUUGCUGAGACCUUAAAAGCUCACUGUACAUUUUUCGUGUCUUUUUUAAUGCACUUUUCGUUUAACAAGUCAACAUCAGUUUCUUCUGUUGUAAAAGGGUCAUUGGAAGGUGGCUUUCUUUUCGGAGAAAGUGUUUAUAGCCUUUGGCCUCUGCAAUCGGAAGAGACUGAGGUCUGCAGCGUAGACUCUUCGGGGUUAGAUACAUUUGUGCUAAGUUAUAGCUUUUUAUAGACAACUUGUUGACUAUAAUUAGUCUUGUAGCUUACUCGCUUAUGCUAUUUUACCUACGCUUAGGAUGUUGAGUCGUAGAGCACGCAG
rnacentral:rRNA from 1 species